ensembl:snRNA U6 U6 spliceosomal RNA
GUGCUCGCUUCGGCAGCACAUAUACUAAAAUUGGAACAAUAUAGAGAAGAUUAGCAUGGCCCCUGCACAAGGAUGACAUGCAAAUUCAUGAAGCGUUCCAUAUUUUU